AGCAUGGCUUCACCAAGGGGGCUUCAUGCCUGACAAAUCUGAUGGGAUUCUUUGAGGAGGUACUGAACAACUUGGACGAAGGGGAGCCAGUGGAUGUAGUCUGUUGGAUCUUCAGAAGGCAUUGACUAGGUGCCGUACAGGAAGCUGCUAAAUAAGAUUCGGGAGCUGAAAUUUGGGAUGAUGCACAGACUGAGAGAAUCAAAUGGUUCUGCCAUGAGGAAUCUUCAGACAAGAGCUGGAACCAGAGAGAAAGAGAGAGACGAGAGCAUUAUAAUAAACCAGCCCGUCUCCUUGUCGGUCAUUUACACACUUGCACACGCAUGGGGAAAAGAAUUGUGGGGUUCAGGCUG